AGCGAACGCUGGCGGCAGGCCUAACACAUGCAAGUCGAACGGGCAUCUUCGGAUGUCAGUGGCAGACGGGUGAGUAACACGGGGGAACGUACCCUUCGGUUCGGAAUAACUCAGGGAAACUUGAGCUAAUACCGGAUACGCCCUUUUGGGGUAAGGUUUACUGCCGCAGGAUCGGCCCGCGUCUGAUUAUCUUGCUGGUAGGUUAACAGCCUACCAAGGCGCCGAUCAGUAGCUGGUAUGAGAGGAUGAUCAGCCACACUGGGGCUUAGCCACGGCCCAGAAUCCUACGGGAGGCAGCAGUGGGGAAUAUUGGACAGUGGGCGCAAGCCUGAUGCAGCCAUGCCGGGUGAGUGAUGAAGGCAGUAGGGCUGUAAAGCUCUUUUGUCCGGGACGAUAAUGACGGUACCGGAAGAAUAAGCCCCGGCUAACUUCGUG
rnacentral:rRNA from 1 species